rnacentral:ribozyme from 13 species
AGAGAGAGAGAAGAAGUAUUGAGGAGGCCAUCCACUUUUUUCUCUUCUUUCUUUUCUUCUUCUUUCUCUUCUUUCUUUUCUUCCUCUUCCUUCGAUUCCUCUUCAUCCUUACACACCCACAAACUCACCCCAAAAUGGGGAGAAGAGGAAGGAGA